GUCAUAUCGUGUUAUUAUCUGAGUAAAACCAGUCCGAAUGAAUGGAUGUCAAAAAAAUGUGCUUAAAUUGUUAAUGUGAAGCGUUAAAUGUGCUAAGAGAGCCGCUAAGUGUAGCAUCACGAUGAUAGUUUGCUAAUCGUAUUUUUGUUUCCUGGACAAAUUGUUGGAUGAUACGAUUGGAUCCUGAAUAAUCUGAGUGGAUUCUUCUUGAUAACUCUUUGUCACCUUGUCGUCAUGUAUCAACUCUUCAGCUCUUGGUUCUUCUGUUCUUACCUGGAUGUUAUUUCUGGGGAAGUGGUAGGACCGAGACUUUACAUCAUGCACAUUGCCCGGGACUGAAUACAUAUUUUUUUUUUGCAUCCCAAGAAAAGGAAGAAAACACUGAACAUUUACAGAUUGGGGAUAUCAUUUUCAAAAUGCUUGGGUUAUGAUUGUAUUGUUAAUAUUUGUUUCAAGUUAAUUGUCAGUUUGUUUUCAUUACUUGGGUUUUCUGAAGUGCUUGAACAGGAAAAAAAACAUUCACAUAGAUUGCCACAAUAUACAUUACUGGCUAACCGUUUCUCUGUGUGUGUGUGUGUGUGUGUGUGUGUGUGUGUGUGUGUGUGUGUGUGUGUGUGUGUGUGUGUGUGUGUGUGUGUGUUUGUGUGUGUGGCACUGAUUCAUUUUUUUUAAAUAUUGCCUUUAAUAGACUUUUAUGAUGCUUUCA